rnacentral:rRNA from 1 species
CCUACGGGACGCAGCAGUGGGGAAUAUUGCGCAAUGGGCGAAAGCCUGACGCAGCGACGCCGCGUGAGGGAUGAAUGUCUUCGGAUCGUAAACCUCUGUCAGCAGGGAAGAACGGUCACUGUGCUAAUCAGCAGUGAAUUGACGGUACCUGCAAAGGAAGCACCGGCUAACUCCGUGCCAGCAGCCGCAGUAAUACGGAGGGUGCGAGCGUUAAUCGGAAUUACUGGGCGUAAAGCGCUCGUAUGCGGUAUGUCAAGUCAAGGGUGAAAGCCCCGCGCUCAACGUGGGAACUGCCUUUGAAACUGGCAAACUGGAGUGUGUGAGAGGAUAGUGGAAUGACAGGUGUAGGAGUGAAAUCCGUAGAUAUCUGGAGGAACAUCAGUGGCGAAGGCGACUAUCUGGCACAUAACUGACGCUGAGGAGCGAAAGCGUGGGUAGCAAACAGGAUUAGAUACCCCUGUAGUC